UAUUUCAUUAAAUAGCUUUGGAAACCGUGGAAACCCUAUUCAUCUUCUUCUUUCUCAUCACAAAAGAAAAAAAACCCUAAUUCCUUACCUUGCUCCAUCACGUCGCGACCUUCUCCGAUCAUCGCCGCGUCGUCUGUAGCCGUCAGCAUCUCCUUCAGUCGUCCUCGUCGUCACGUGUUUUGUAAGUCAGCCGAUCACCCGAGCCACCUUCUUCACCCAUUAGCAUUUUCGUCUCCGUCCGUCUUCGUCUCUGUCUACUCGUCGCCGCCCCGAGUUCAUUUCAUAUCUUCUGUCGUCGGUUGUCUCUGUCUCCGUCAGCCGAUCGUCGAACCAAGUCACAUCCGUGCAAGCCGAUUGUCUCUAUCGUUCCAUCAAGCCAACCUUCAUCGACCUUCGAAAGCACAAACAUGAGCCAUCUCCGUUAGUACGAGCCACGCACGCGAAGUUCGAGCCAUGCGCACCUGUGUGAAGCCGCCCAGCCGUCCGCAUGAGCCGAACCAGCAUCUGAGCCAUACGCAACCCCAACCGAGCCGCCCCUGCACGUGCGAGCCGCCUUUCGUGUGUGAGCUGCCUACCCGAGCCGAUUUCCCUGCCUUAGUCGAGCUGAUCCCUGUCUUCCAAGCCAAUUGAGCCGUCAAGCUUAAUUUUGCCCUUUUCACCUAUAUUUUUGAUAAGUUUUGAUUGGGUUUUGAUCAAUUGGAAGUUGAACUAUGGAAUUUUUCUCAAUUAAGGGUAAAUUCAAUUCAACCUCAAAUUUGGGAUUUUUCCUUGGGAAGUUUGACCUUGCUGUCAGGAUUAAUUUUGGUUUAAGCAAUCUCCAGGCAGAGGUAGAGGUAAGAGCAUAGGAAAGCUGGCGAAUGACAAGAAGUGAUUAUGGCAUGCCAUAGGAAACAUUUUGCUUUUGCCUAAUGAUAUUAGUUGUAAUUUCCGUAUUUAUGCACUUUUAUUUAUUUUACUCUUUAAAACUAGAUAGGGCCCGAACUAGGAAUUUGCUAUUUUUGAGAUUUAUUUCUAUUGAUUUAUGCAUUUAUGAUUUUAAA